UUGGGCGGACCGGCGCACGGGUGAGUAACGCGUAUGCAACUUACCUAUCAGAGGGGGAUAGCCCGGCGAAAGUCGGAUUAAUACCCCAUGAAACAGGGGUCCCGCAUGGGAAUAUUUGUUAAAGAUUCAUCGCUGAUAGAUAGGCAUGCGUUCCAUUAGGCAGUUGGCGGGGUAACGGCCCACCAAACCGACGAUGGAUAGGGGUUCUGAGAGGAAGGUCCCCCACAUUGGUACUGAGACACGGACCAA
rnacentral:rRNA from 1 species